CAAAUUAGAGCUUGAAAUAUUAAGCAUUUCAUUUACAUUGAAAAGAUAUUAUUUAAUAAUUAAUUUGA
rnacentral:tRNA from 1 species